CGAUCGGUUAUCUGGUAAAUCUCCCUUACACGGAGAAAAGCAGGUUCGAGUCCUGUCCGGUCGG
rnacentral:tRNA from 1 species